rnacentral:lncRNA from 1 species
GUAAAUUAAAAACCCUCAUGGUUGUGUAAUAAGAAUGCAAAAAUUUGAUAGUCAAGUGUAAAAACUUGAAAUUUUUCUCAACCUCAAUUGUGUGAACAUAACACAUUGAAGAUCACUUAGAUCUCACAGUAAGAGAGGAUAGUCUGCACAUGUGCAGUAGAUCACAACUCAUUACCUUGUGUUCCAAAUAAGACGAGGGAGAAAUAUUCAAAAAUUUGCAAGUUUGACACGCGAGAGAAGCGGAUCUCAAUCGCAAAAACAUGUUCGAGAAAAUGUGGUAAACACAUGGAACAUGUCAUUUUUCCCAGAUGAAAUCCGUUACUUUAUUUAUAUGCAAUCCAACAUACCUACUAAUAAUUACACAAGUCCUAACAUAGAAUAAAUCUAAAACAGGACUAAAACGUAAGUAGUUGUCAAACUAAGUACUAAACAGUACUAGGCUUGGCCUAAAGCUAAAUUAGUACAAAAACUAGUACUAAUACUAACUAGUACUAAACAGAAAAGUAAGAAAAAGAAAGAGAAAAAAACAAACACACACACGGCUACAAGGGCUAGCCUGAGGCAACCUAGCCAAUACGGCUUGGCUUUGCUCCACGUGAAACCAGCCCAGCCG